rnacentral:misc_RNA from 1 species
GUGAAACUGGCCUCACGGCCUAACCCACAAUCCACAAACACCUGUGAACCGUCUGCGCUCGCGCAGCUUUUACAAAACAUCUGUGUCAUGAACGUCCAUUGAUUGUAAACAAACA